UGUCUUUUUGAGAAUAAUAUAAGGUCUAAUCUGCCCACUGAUUUAGAUUGAAGGGCUGCAGUAUAUUGACUGUACAAAGGUAGCAUAAUCAUUAGUCAUUUAAUUGAUGACUUGUAUGAAGGAUUGGAUGAAAUAUAAACUGUCUCUUUAUUAAUAAUAGAAUUUAACUUUUUAAUUAAAAAGUUAAAAUAUUUUAAAAAGACGAGAAGACCCUAUAGAGUUUUAUAAAUAAAAUAAUUAAGAUUAUUUAAUUAAAUAAAAUUAAGAUUAUAUUAUUUAUUUUGUUGGGGUGACAGAAAAAUAUAUUCAACUUUUUUUUUAUUUAAAACAUUUAUAAGUGGUUAAAUGAUCCAAUAUUAUUGAUUAUAAGAAAAAAUUACCUUAGGGAUAACAGCGUAAUUUUUUUUUUUAGUUCAAAUAAGAAAAAGAGUUUGCGACCUCGAUGUUGGAUUAAGAUAAAAUUUAAAUGCAGAAG
rnacentral:rRNA from 1 species